rnacentral:rRNA from 1 species
CCUACGGGUGGCAGCAGUGAGGAAUAUUGGUCAAUGGGCGAGAGCCUGAACCAGCCAAGUCGCGUGAAGGAUGAAGGAUCUAUGGUUUGUAAACUUCUUUUAUAUGGGAAUAAAGUGAGGCACGUGUUCCUUUUUGUAUGUACCAUAUGAAUAAGCAUCGGCUAACUCCGUGCCAGCAGCCGCGGUAAUACGGAGGAUGCGAGCGUUAUCCGGAUUUAUUGGGUUUAAGGGGUGCGUAGGUGGUUAAUUAAGUCAGCGGUGAAAGUUUGUGGCUCAACCAUAAAAUUGACGUUGAUACUGGUUGACUUGAGUAUAUUUGAGUAAGGCGAAAUGGGUGGGGUAGCGGUGAAAUGCAUAGAUAUCACGAAGAACUCCGAUGGCGAAGGCAGCUUACUAAACUAUAACUGACACUGAAGCACGAAAGCGUGGGGAUCAAACAGGAUUAGAUACCCGUGUAGU